GUGGGGAAUCUUGCGCAAUGGGCGAAAGCCUGACGCAGCAACGCCGCGUGAGCGAAGAAGGCCUUCGGGUUGUAAAGCUCUGUCAGGAGGAAAGAAGGCACCUGGGUUAAUAGCCCAAGGGCUGACGGUACCUCCAAAGGAAGCCACGGCUAACUACGUGCCAGCAGCCGCGGUAAUACGUAGGUGGCAAGCGUUGUCCGGAAUCAUUGGGCGUAAAGAGCGCGUAGGUGGCUUGUCAGGUCUGGUGUGAAAUUUCGGGGCUCAACCCCGAACCUGCAUCGGAAACCGGCUUGCUAGAGUCUGGGAGAGGAGAGUGGAAUUCCUGGUGUAGCGGUGAAAUGCGUAGAUAUCAGGAGGAACACCGGUAGCGAAGGCGGCCAUCUGGACCAGCACUGACACUGAGGCACGAAAGCGUGGGGAGCAAACAGGAUUAGAAACCCCUGUAGUCC
rnacentral:rRNA from 1 species